rnacentral:rRNA from 1 species
GAGCGGCGGAUGGGUGAGUAACACGUGGGGAACCUGCCCCAUAGUCUAGGAUACCACUUGGAAACAGGUGCUAAUACCGGAUAAUAAAGCAGAUUGCAUGAUCAGCUUAUAAAAGGCGGCGUAAGCUGUCGCUAUGGGAUGGCCCCGCGGUGCAUUAGCUAGUUGGUAAGGUAACGGCUUACCAAGGCAAUGAUGCAUAGCCGAGUUGAGAGACUGAACGGCCACAUUGGGACUGAGACACGGCCCAAACUCCUACGGGAGGCAGCAGUAGGGAAUCUUCCACAAUGGACGCAAGUCUGAUGGAACAACGCCGCGUGAGUGAAGAAGGUUUUCGGAUCGUAAAGCUCUGUUGUUGGUGAAGAAGGAUAGAGGUAGUAACUGACCUUUAUUUGACGGUAAUCAACCAGAAAGUCACGGCUAACUACGUGCCAGCAGCCGCGGUAAUACGUAGGUGGCAAGCGUUGUCCGGAUUUAUUGGGCGUAAAGCGAGCGCAGGCGGAAGAAUAAGUCUGAUGUGAAAGCCCUCGGCUUAACCGAGGAAUUGCAUCGGAAACUGUUUUUCUUGAGUGCAGAAGAGGAGAGUGGAACUCCAUGUGUAGCGGUGGAAUGCGUAGAUAUAUGGAAGA